UGGGGAAUAUUGGGCAAUGGGCGAAAGCCUGACCCAGCAACGCCGCGUGAAGGAAGAAGGUCUUCGGAUUGUAAACUUCUUUUAUGAGGGACGAAGGACGUGACGGUACCUCAUGAAUAAGCCACGGCUAACUACGUGCCAGCAGCCGCGGUAAUACGUAGGUGGCAAGCGUUAUCCGGAUUUACUGGGUGUAAAGGGCGCGUAGGCGGGGAUGCAAGUCAGAUGUGAAAUGUAUGGGCUCAACCCAUGAACUGCAUUUGAAACUGCAUUGCUUGAGUGAAGUAGAGGCAGGCGGAAUUCCCUGUGUAGCGGUGAAAUGCGUAGAGAUAGGGAGGAACACCAGUGGCGAAGGCGGCCUGCUGGGCUUUAACUGACGCUGAGGCACGAAAGCGUGGGUAGCAAACAGGAUUAGAUACCCUGGUAGU
rnacentral:rRNA from 1 species